rnacentral:rRNA from 1 species
UACGUAGGGGGCAAGCGUUGUCCGGAAUCAUUGGGCGUAAAGCGCGUGUAGGCGGCUCGAUAAGUCUGCUGUGAAAGUUCAGGGCUCAACCCUGGGAUGCCGGUGGAUACUGUCGAGCUCGAGUCCGGAAGAGGCGAGUGGAAUUCCUGGUGUAGCGGUGAAAUGCGCAGAUAUCAGGAGGAACACCGAUGGCGAAGGCAGCUCGCUGGGACGUGACUGACGCUGAGACGCGAAAGCGUGGGGAGCAAACAGG